rnacentral:rRNA from 1 species
AUGCAGUCGACGGUAGCAGGAGAAAGCUUGCUUUCUUGCUGACGAGUGGCGGACGGGUGAGUAAUGCUUGGGAAUCUGGCUUAUGGAGGGGGAUAACUACGGGAAACUGUAGCUAAUACCGCGUAGUAUCGGAAGAUGAAAGUGCGGGACCGCAAGGCCGCAUGCCAUGAGAUGAGCCCAAGUGGGAUUAGGUAGUUGGUGGGGUAAAGGCCUACCAAGCCUGCGAUCUCUAGCUGGUCUGAGAGGAUGGCCAGCCACACUGGAACUGAGACACGGUCCAGACUCCUACGGGAGGCAGCAGUGGGGAAUAUUGCGCAAUGGGGGGAACCCUGACGCAGCCAUGCCGCGUGAAUGAAGAAGGCCUUCGGGUUGUAAAGUUCUUUCGGUAUUGAGGAAGGAGUGUAUGUUAAUAGCAUACAUUAUUGACGUUAAAUACAGAAGAAGCACCGGCUAACUCCGUGCCAGCAGCCGCGGUAAUACGGAGGGUGCGAGCGUUAAUCGGAAUAACUGGGCGUAAAGGGCACGCAGGCGGUUAUUUAAGUGAGGUGUGAAAGCCCCGGGCUUAACCUGGGAAUUGCAUUUCAGACUGGGUAACUAGAGUACUUUAGGGAGGGGUAGAAUUCCACGUGUAGCGGUGAAAUGCGUAGAGAUGUGGAGGAAUACCGAAGGCGAAGGCAGCCCCUUGGGAAUGUACUGACGCUCAUGUGCGAAAGCGUGGGGAGCAAACAGGAUUAGAUAC